rnacentral:sRNA from 1 species
AGUCCAGUGACUCGGCAGGAGAAAAUGGCGACCGUGUGGGAUGAAGCCGAGCAAGAUGGAAUUGGGGAGGAGGUGCUCAAGAUGUCCACGGAGGAGAUCAUCCAGCGCACACGGCUGCUGGACAGUGAGAUCAAGGUGGGCGCACAGCUCCUGUGCGGGCGAUGGAGCCCCCACAGGACAGGCCCCGGCGAUCCGAGUCGCCUCUCCUACUUCCUUUUCGGGCACCCUGGGGGAGACAUGGGGCUCGGGCUUCCCCCUCGUAUCAGGAAGAGAGGAAAGAAAACUAAGCCUUAAAAGGGACAAGAAGACAGGCAGGGGAUGGUGGGAGACCUGGGCUGAGAUGAGAAGUUAUCAGAUUGCCUUUCCGAGUGAGAACUGGGAAUAAUCCUCUCAAGAAUCCUUCUUUUAGUAAAAUGCCUAUUUUACAGAUGAGGAAACAGGCUCAGAGAGGUUUGUACUGCGAUAAAUCACCCAGUUCUUACUAAGAGGCAGAACUGAAAACCUAUAUUUGCCUGUCUCGGAGGCCUGCUUUUAUUCCAAUACUACCACUAUUUCACCAGGAG